GUCCGGUUGCGCCGCGGCGUGAGGUGUUGCCCUCUUGGAAGGUUUAUCCCCAACUCAUGGCUUCUGUCCCUGCAGCAAUAAGAAGCCACUUCCCAAUAGUUUCCUGAUACCCAGUCACCUUUGGGAACUUACGAGGAAAGUUUUUCCAGUCUCUCCGCAGACCCUUGCAUCUCUUCUCUUUUUGUUUAGACCCUUGACCACCACCCCCUAUUCUAAUCUUAACUCCUCUGCUACUCAGUUCCAAUCCUAACCCAAGCCCUAGUCCCUAAAUUUAUAAUCCUUUAAUCCUAGACCUGGUCUCUAGAUCCUGAGCCCUUGAUGCUUAUCUUCUAACCUCCUAAUCCCAACCUCAAAUCCCUAAACCUCAACCCAUGAAUUCUGACCUGAUUCUCAAACCCCAGGCCCCCAACCCUGACUCCAAAAAUGACAACCCAUUACUUCUCCCUACACGGAAUCACUGACGGAGUUGUAGCAACUGAAUCUGCAGUAGGCCAAAGGACCCAGUGAGUUAGCCAGCAAACUACUCUAAAUAAAAGAUAUGGUGGAUAACAGCAAGCCUAAACAAAUCUUCCUCAAAGAUGAGCAACACAAGUCCCAGUCAUUAUGACAAUACCUCUGUAUCUCAACAAAGGGGCUUAAAUCAGCAAGUCAUCCCAGCCCCUGAAGGAAGAGAACAGUCCUUGUAAGUUGCAAAGCUCUCAGAGGACAUGGGUGGCUCAGUAAAGCCCCUGUUCUAGGACACAGCAAAAGAAGCAACACAAUAACCACCAUGGCCCAGCAGAUGAGGGCCACAGCCAGCAUCGCCACCCCUGAGUCUGCCUUCCCAGUAUGAUCAUCAGGACUUCAGAAGUCCCAGCAAACCAGUUAAACAGAAGACAAGAACCUUAUGUGAAACCAAAUUCCAGACAACUGAUACAGAUGGCAUUCCAGAAUCUGCAGCAUUCCAGCAUGCAACAAACUGCAAUAAGUGACACAGAUCUCUCCCCGACAGACACCUUAUGAGAAGCAAGGGGAAAAAAAUGCUCCAAUAAAAUGGAAUCCCAGAAUCUCUUCACCAUCCCACCCUCAAACCCCUCCCCAUUGCCAGGAUGCUAUGGCAUAAGAGGCAAAGGACAAUUCACAGUAGUAAUAAAAAACAUUUACUAAACACUUAGAAACAGUACUGACCAGGUGCCUCAUUCAAUGCUACGCUUAUGUGAAUUCUGUAUGUAUACUGUACUUAGAUACAAUUUUUUAAAAAUUGAUACUGCUAAAGCCUUGCUUAGAUGGAAAUUUGUAGCCUAAAAUACAUAUAUUAGAAAAGAAGAAAGACUGGAAAUUCAGUAAGCCUCCAUCUCAACAAGUUAGAAAAAGAGGAACAGAGCCUCAGAAACCUGUGACACAUCAUCAAGCGUAUAAUUUGUUAUUAUUAUUUAUUAUUAUUAUUUUGAGACAGAG
rnacentral:lncRNA from 10 species